rnacentral:rRNA from 1 species
UACGUAGGGGGCAAGCGUUGUCCGGAAUUAUUGGGCGUAAAGAGCGUGUAGGCGGUCCGGUAAGUCGGCUGUGAAAGUCCAGGGCUCAACCCUGGGAUGCCGGUCGAUACUGCCGGACUAGAGUUCGGAAGAGGCGAGUGGAAUUCCCGGUGUAGCGGUGAAAUGCGCAGAUAUCGGGAGGAACACCUAUGGGCGAAGGCAGCUCGCUGGGACGUUACUGACGCUGAGACGCGAAAGCGUGGGGGAGCAAACAGG